rnacentral:rRNA from 1 species
AGUGAACGCUGGCGGUAGGCCUAACACAUGCAAGUCGAACGGCAGCACAGUAAGAGCUUGCUCUUACGGGUGGCGAGUGGCGGACGGGUGAGGAAUACAUCGGAAUCUACUUUUUCGUGGGGGAUAACGUAGGGAAACUUACGCUAAUACCGCAUACGACCUACGGGUGAAAGCAGGGGAUCUUCGGACCUUGCGCGAUUGAAUGAGCCGAUGUCGGAUUAGCUAGUUGGCGGGGUAAAGGCCCACCAAGGCGACGAUCCGUAGCUGGUCUGAGAGGAUGAUCAGCCACCCUGGAACUGAGACACGGUCCAGACUCCUACGGGAGGCAACAGUGGGGAAUAUUGGACCAUGGGCGCAAGCCUGAUCCCGCCAUACCGGGUGGGUGAAGAAGGCCUUCGGGUUGUAAAGCCCUUUUGUUGGGAAAGAAAAACAGCAGGUUAAUACCCCGCUGUUCUGACGGUACCCAAAGAAUAAGCACCGGCUAACUUCGUG